UACGGGGGGAGCAAGCGUUGUUCGGAUUUACUGGGCGUAAAGGGCGCGUAGGCGGUAGCACAAGUCAGUUGUGAAAUCUCCGGGCUUAACUCGGAAAGGUCAACUGAUACUGCGGGGCUAGAGUGCAGAAGGGGCAACUGGAAUUCUCGGUGUAGCGGUGAAAUGCGUAGAUAUCGAGAGGAACACCUGCGGCGAAGGCGGGUUGCUGGGCUGACACUGACGCUGAAGUGCGAAAGCUAGGGGAGCGAACGGG
rnacentral:rRNA from 1 species